CUAAAUUUACCUUAAAAAACGUGUCCUACACAAAGUUCAGUUUAUUUUUUUAUUCCAAAAAAACGUUUUUUUAUAAAAACGCCACAAAAACAUUUUACUUUCAAAAAAAUUGCACCUUUUUUUCUCUAAAUUUCCCCCCUAAAACCCCUAAUUUUUCCCCCUAAAAUUUGUAUCCUCAAAACACCCUUUAGGGGUUUCUCUCCGCCACCACGUCUUCAUCAUCAUCGUUCCCUACUUUUGCUACUUUAAGCUCCUCUUCUUCUCAACCACCGUCUUUGUUUUUCUCUUGUUUAUCCGGUCGGUGUAUUUUUUAGGAAAAUCCAAAUUUUCCCGAAAGAUUUCCCGACCGACGAUUAUUCCAUCUUUAUCUUUUCGUCAAAAUCUCGAAAAUCGAAACAAUUCCGGUGUUUCUGUUUUUGAAGCUAAAGAGUGAUCUUCUUUUCCUUCUCCGGAUCGCUUGAUUUUGCCGCUAAACCUCUUCUGAUUUUGCAGCUAGGUACACUGUGAGAUCUUUUGGAAUCAGGCGUAAUGAGAAGAUUGCUUGCUACGUGACUCUGAAUAUUUCAAGUACAAAAGAUGAAAAACAAAGAAGAAUCGUUUCAAGAAAAUUGCAGUCACAGUUCGCUUUCCUUUAUUUUCUUCUUGGAAAACCGUUUUGUUAACCUUUAUUAACUUGAAAUUAGGGUAAUUAUUUAGUUAUUAUCUAUUGUAGAGGCCUUGUCGUCGUUUCAUUUUCCCGGAGCCCGUCGUUUUAUUUGGAUUUGCUGAAAAACAAAGGACCUGACGUUGCUUCAUCGGAUAAACGGUAUCUACAGCUGUAUUGUGUUUCAGUAGCUUCCUCACAAGAUUAUCAUUUUUCUUAAAGGUACUAAUAUAAUGACCUUGAAUCCGACAUCUCCUCUUCAUCACUGAACGUGCAGACAUUUGGUCAUCAUUGCCUAAGCUUACAUCAAAGUGAAUGGAGCUCAACAGGGACAUUCUUUAUAUUGUCAGCCUUUUGCCGUGCAAAUUUCAUCCUAUUCGCAAUAAUGGUGUCCGAGACUAAAGGACGAACACUGGAGGAAAUACAAGCAUCAGUUAGUCAUUCUUCCGUUUGAAAUACCAUCAGCAAUUUGCUUUAAAAUUUGAUCUGUCUUGCUGGGUUUUUGUGCUGUGUCUUUGCAGAGUAUUGGGUAGUCCUUUCAAUCCUCAGCCAUGGCGGAACAGAUGGAGAAAGCAUUUCUCAAACACCCCAAGGUGUUUUUAAGACUUAGAAAUAAAGUAAUCACAUUCACUAUUUUUCAAGCCUUUCAAGCCACUUGCGUCUUACUCCUCUAUGUUGAAUCAAAUUGAGGAAUUGCUAAGUGCUAGAGACUAUAAAGCUGCCAUGCAGCUAUCAGAAAAUCUAAGAAGCUUGGCACUGAAGGAAGGGACUUCAUUAUUUUCGAACUUUUUGAGGAUUCACUUCGGCUUUCUCUUCUAUUUUUGCUUCUUUGAUUCAGCUAAUAGAGCAUGCAGGAACUAAAUUUGCAGUUCAAAUUUGAAGCCUUGCUCAAAAGUUUUUCUCUAAGGCUCAUUGCUUUGAGUUCAUUACAAGAUUUCCUUGAUUAAGUAAAUGUAUUAUAUCUUUUAUUACCAAGAUUUACUUGAUUAAGAAAAUGCAUUGUAUAUUUUAUUACCUUGCAUAUGUAUUAUUUAUUUUGGUUUUGAUUCUA